AGUGAACGCUGGCGGUAGGCCUAACACAUGCAAGUCGAACGGCAGCACAGUAAGAGCUUGCUCUUACGGGUGGCGAGUGGCGGACGGGUGAGGAAUACAUCGGAAUCUACUUUUUCGUGGGGGAUAACGUAGGGACACUUACGCUAAUACCGCAUACGACCUACGGGUGAAAGCAGGGGAUCUUCGGACCUUGCGCGAUUGAAUGAGCCGAUGUCGGAUUAGCGAGUUGGCGGGGUAAAGGCCCACCAAGGCGACGAUCCGUAGCUGGUCUGAGAGGAUGAUCAACCACACUGGAACUGAGACACGGUCCAGACUCCUACGGGAGGCAGCAGUGGGGAAUAUUGGACAAUGGGCGCAAGCCUGAUCCAGCCAUACCGCGUGGGUGAAGAAGGCCUUCGGGUUGUAAAGCCCUUUUGUUGGGAAAGAAAAGCAGCAGGUUAAUACCCCGCUGUUCUGACGGUACCCAAAGAAUAAGCACCGGCUAACUUCGUG
rnacentral:rRNA from 1 species